rnacentral:lncRNA from 1 species
UGAUCGGACAUGAUGAUUCUGCUGGCAGAAUUUUCUCUAGCUCGUUUGUGUGGUCAUGGUUGCCUCUUACAGAAGGGGAGAGGGAUUUGAAAUAUUAAAAUUAGCAUGCAGGGGAACUCCAAAUGACUUGGGCAUCUUCAACAUUGAAACCCGGAUGGGGAGGAUUUCUAGUUUGGAGUUUUAUAAUCGAGUUCAGUGGUCCGCUAAGAGCCUCAUGU